rnacentral:miRNA from 1 species
CCAUCCAGCCCCAGUCCUGCUGC